GGCGGCAUCUUCGUGAAGGAUAGGUGCACUUUCUUCUUGAUCGGACCACGACCAGCGACUUGCUUGCCUGACAUGGGUCGGAAGGUAGCGUUGGCUUCGGCGAACGUGUUAUAGCCGCCUAUUCGGUAGUUGAGCGAGGCGUUGGAUGCGAUGAGUUGGCGCUUGCCCUCUGGGCUCGUACGUUGCCUCUUUCAGGCGUGUCGCCGAUUUCACUGCCUUUGGCAGGGGUGUCGGAGAUGUGUCGGUUAGAACGGUGGCCUCUGCGAUUGGCGUCGAAAGUCUGUGGUUGUGAAGUAGGCAGUCCACCUGACCCGUCUUGAAACACGGACCAAGGAGUCUAACAUGUGCGCGAGUCAUUGGGCUCUACGAAACCUAAAGGCGAAGUGAAAGUAAAGAUCCAUUUCCAUGGAUUGAGGUGGGAUCCUGAGUCACGUGCUCGGGCGCACUACCGGCCCGUUCGACAUGUCUUCAUGCGGGCGGAGCAAGAGCGUACACGUUGGGACCCGAAAGAUGGUGAACUAUGCUUGCGCAGGUCGAAGCCAGAGGAAACUCUGGUGGAGGACCGUAGCGAUUCUGACGUGCAAAUCGAUCGUCAAACGUGAGUAUAGGGGCGAAAGACUAAUCGAACCAUCUAGUAGCUGGUUCCCUCCGAAGUUUCCCUCAGGAUAGCUGGCACUCUGGAAACGAAACAGUUUUAUCCGGUAAAGCGAAUGAUUAGAGGUAUUGGGACGAAACUGCUCUCAACCUAUUCUCAAACUUUAAAUGGGUAAGAUGCCCGACUCGCUCAAUUUGGAGCCGGGCUUC
rnacentral:rRNA from 1 species